AUGCCUUACGAUGAGCAGUACACACCGUACAUCAAGCAGGCAGGACUACUCCCGUGGAUUCAGUUGGUCAGCCGGUCCACGCCGAAUCUAAACGCUCCACUGGUGUCCGCUCUUGCUGAUCGGUGGAGGCCGGAGAUGCAUAGUCCCCAUCUUCGGACCGGGGAGAUGACCGUGACGCUCGAGGAUGUCUCGUUGAUCACCGGUCUUGCUAUCGACGGGAUGCCUCUCUGUAUGAGCACCGAUUCUGAUGGGUGGCGCGAGCAGAUGAUUGCUCUUAUCGGUAUGGCUCCUACUGAGGCUGAGGCUGAUGUAGAGGAGGGAGAAGAGAAGAAGAGGGAAAGGAAAGUAGCCGGAGCUGCUUUCACGUGGAUUCAAACUCACUUUGCGACGUGCCCUCCGGAUGCCACUGAUGAUGUGAUCCAGACACAUGCUCGUGUCUACAUGUGGUAUGUUGUGUCGAGGACUUUGUUUUGCUGA
rnacentral:rRNA from 1 species